CUUUCACAAACAUCCCAAUGACCUGCACAAAUACAGACAGUCAAACCCCACAUGGCGGGGCACACUUACUUCAAGGUGAAAGCUUGUUGUGGAGGGAAUCCAACCCUUUCCAAAAGUUUUUUUGUCAGUGGAAAGGCUGAUCAACGAAUAGGAGAUGCGCUUCACCCAUAUCUGUCGCAAUACAAUGUCUCCAUUACGGAAAUUCGGGCUUCUAAUUCGGAAAUAGGAAACCCAUCGACGGUAACAGAACCGGAUACCCCGAUAUCUGUACUGGAGUCAUUUGGAGUGAGAUACAUAUUUGUUGAUAUAAAAUAGAUUGACAAGGCAGAUGCAGCUGAAGAAAAGGAAAAGGGAUCAGUGAAUGUUUUUGACAUUUUGAUGAAUGUCCAAAAACCAUACAAUAAACUACCCUCUGCAAGGGUUGGUAGUAAACACUUUGAGAUGGAAAGAGAACAAUGCCAAAGACAAAGUGUACAACAUUGUUUUGAAUCUUCUGAAGCAGAAAGGAGUUGGCUUUACAUCCGUGCAGGUGGAGAGUACUGGCGUGUAUAUUACAAA